rnacentral:rRNA from 1 species
GGGGAGGCAUAUACUGCAGUCGAGCGAGCUUGCCUAGAUGAUUUUAGUGCUUGCACUAAAUGAAACUAGAUACAAGCGAGCGGCGGACGGGUGAGUAACACGUGGGUAACCUGCCCAAGAGACUGGGAUAACACCUGGAAACAGAUGCUAAUACCGGAUAACAACACUAGACGCAUGUCUAGAGUUUGAAAGAUGGUUCUGCUAUCACUCUUGGAUGGACCUGCGGUGCAUUAGCUAGUUGGUAAGGUAACGGCUUACCAAGGCAAUGAUGCAUAGCCGAGUUGAGAGACUGAUCGGCCACAUUGGGACUGAGACACGGCCCAAACUCCUACGGGAGGCAGCAGUAGGGAAUCUUCCACAAUGGACGAAAGUCUGAUGGAGCAACGCCGCGUGAGUGAAGAAGGGUUUCGGCUCGUAAAGCUCUGUUGGUAGUGAAGAAAGAUAGAGGUAGUAACUGGCCUUUAUUUGACGGUAAUUACUUAGAAAGUCACGGCUAACUACGUGCCAGCAGCCGCGGUAAUACGUAGGUGGCAAGCGUUGUCCGGAUUUAUUGGGCGUAAAGCGAGUGCAGGCGGUUCAAUAAGUCUGAUGUGAAAGCCUUCGGCUCAACCGGAGAAUUGCAUCAGAAACUGUUGAACUUGAGUGCAGAAGAGGAGAGUGGAACUCCAUGUGUAGCGGUGGAAUGCGUAGAUAUAUGGAAGAACACCAGUGGCGAAGGCGGCUCUCUGGUCUGCAACUGACGCUGAGGCUCGAAAGCAUGGGUAGCGAACAGGAUUAGAUACCCUGGUAGUCCAUGCCGU